rnacentral:rRNA from 1 species
GACGAACGCUGGCGGCGUGCCUAAUACAUGCAAGUCGAACGGUCUUUUCUAUGGAAGCUUGCUUCCACUGAGAAGAUAGUGGCGAACGGGUGAGUAACACGUGGGUAACCUGCCCAUAAGCGGGGGAUAACAUCCGGAAACGGGUGCUAAUACCGCAUAGUUUUCUUGAUCGCAUGAUUGAGAAAGGAAAGACGGCCUUUGUGCUGUCGCUUAUGGAUGGCCCCGCGGCGUAUUAGUUAGUUGGUGAGGUAACGGCUCACCAAGACGAUGAUACGUAGCCGACCUGAGAGGGUGAUCGGCCACAUUGGGACUGAGACACGGCCCAAACUCCUACGGGAGGCAGCAGUAGGGAAUCUUCCGCAAUGGACGAAAGUCUGACGGAGCAACGCCGCGUGAGUGAAGAAGGUUUUCGGAUCGUAAAACUCUGUUGUCAGAGAAGAACAAGUUGGAGAGUAACUGCUCCAGCCUUGACGGUAUCUGACCAGAAAGCCACGGCUAACUACGUGCCAGCAGCCGCAGUAAUAC